rnacentral:tRNA from 1 species
CGGGGUGUAGCGCAGCUGGAUAGCGCACCUGCUUUGGGAGCAGGGGGUCGCAGGUUCAAAUCCUGUCACCCCGACCA